UUUGUCUCAAAAAAAUACCAAAAACCAAAAACAACAAAAACAAAAAACAUCAAAAGACUAUGAGAAACAGUGAUUGGAUGUUUGGGGUGUGGAUAUCGGAAUCUGGAGCUGGGGACAGGUGUGUCAUUUGAUAGUCCCUUUUGAGAACCACUGUUGAUCUAAAGCUAUUCCAGUUCCCUAGGGGAUUGCUAAUAACCGGUGCAGCUGCUGAGACAGGGAAAGGGGCCUAAUUCCUUUUGCAAAACAAGGAGCAAUAUUUAUAUGAGAACUCAGUACAUUUCAUCACAUAAAAAUUGCAAAACGCCAGGCUCUGUCAUUUUUAAACUAAUAUUUUUGGGAGUCCACCAAACAGUCUCUAAGAUGGAACUGAUUGUGAAUAUGCUGGUGCCAGGUGCAAUGGCUCACACCUGUAAUCCCAGCUACUUGGGAGGCUGAGGUGGGAGGAUCACCUGAAGCCAGGAGUUCGAGGCCAGCCUGGGCCUCUCUAAAAAAAAAAAAGCUGUAAGUCAAAUGAUAUAGCCUCUAGAAGCCACAGUUUGCUCAUUUACAAACUGGAGGAGAAUAAGAUGAGAAUUGUCUGAUAUUGAGGAUCAGAAAGUGCUUCAUGAUGCAUAAAGCAGGUAAUGGAUUAUCAAUGCUUUGCUGCUCAGACACACAGCAAUGGGUUCAUACCAUUCUGAGAGUCUAAAUUUAGGACGUGGUGUGACCAAAAUUACCAGUAAUUAAGUUUCUUAUGUUUCUGAGGCUCUGCUUCCUCAUCUGUACACUGUGGCAAGACCUUGUUCUGACUAUGCACUGAGGAUAAAAUAAGGCCUUUUGAAAAAGAUGAUGACACUGACCACUAAUUAAUGAUUUCAAUGUUCCCGUCCAAGGUCAGGCAAAAGCAAUGCAGAGCCAUAGAGAAUGUUGGUGCAACACUGCCCUCUGCUGGUCAGUAGCAGCACCACCAUGGUUACAGAGAGGAAAAGGUCUUUACAAAGGGAUUCCUGGGAAACUGAGGCAGAGAGUGGAAGGGAUUUGCUCAAGGGCACAGAGUUAGCUUUGGACAAAGUGAUGGCUCGAAUCUGAGAUUCCUAAUUCCUAGUUCUUUCUAGAGGGAGAAAAAUAAGGGCUGGAAACUAGUGGAUUGUCGUUUCACUCUCACUAGGCUCUGCACGGCAUUUUAAAUAGGCUGAUUGGAAUUUCUCUCUCCUGUUCUUCCCUUGCCACCCAAACUGCUCGGGUUUCUUGUCCUUUUCUUCAUACCAGGAUAACCAUCUGUGUGGCCCCAUAAGGCCCAAAGUCCUCUUGGGUGCUGCCGGAGGUCCAACAACCAGUAAAGCACGGAAGCUGGGAUCUGAACACUCACUUGAGACCCCAAGGCCCACAAUCUAUUUGCCACCAAAAAACAAGACAAAGCAAAACACCAUGGACUGGAUCCUGGACCUGCCCCUGGGACUUGCGGAAGGGGACAGCUCAAUCUGAGCCAUAUCAACUGAGAACACAGGAAGCAUGGUCCUACCAAGAGAUGUCUAUUCCAGGUAUGGUGGAGCCUCAGAGGACAGCAUGACUCUCGUUCAGCUGGUGGAUCAGGGAAUGGUCCAAUAAGCCACAGCUGUGGAUAUGAAGAUCUUGUGAAAUCAGUGACCUCUGGGUCAUGUAGAAACCCAGCACAUUCCCACAGGACACAGCCUAGCAGUUGAUCAGAGCAGUAGUUCAUACCUGAGACCCUGGAUUUUCAGACCCUCCCCCAGGCCCCACCAGCCUCUGUCAGUGCCAAGCUGGACGGAACAAACCACAUGAGGUUGGUCAGGCCUCUACCCCAUGGAAAAACACAGAAUGGUGAUUUUUUGCCUGUACAUUCCUGGACAAAUAAAUUCUCUUUUGGGAGCUUUUUCCUGGCUGGGCUAUGUUAUAUGCCUCAGAGCUGCCCAGAUCCCCUGGAAACCCAAAGAUUUCCUUCCAUGUGUAGGACUCAUUCAGCCCCAGCUCAGAGGACUGUUUCAUGGGUACUGGUGGCAGGAAUUCUUGGUUGUCUUCAAUGUCUGGCUCCCUGAUUUUCGGUAGGGAACAUGGUCAGCAGAAUGAGGAUGGCAUUUCCUACCUUCUACUGCAGGUGGGCAGAACCAAGGUGCCCUCCCUACACCUUCCUGGGGCCUCCAGCGAUCCUGAGCUCAGCCUCCUGACCUGCAGACCCCUCAGCUCUGGCCCUCACGUCCUGCUUGCUGUACCUGCUUUAUCCCAUAUCACCAUCUCCAUUCCUCAGCAUAGUGACAAUCCCAGUUCCUACCCAUUCCACUGGCUUCUCCAUUUGGCUUGGAGCUCUUUAGCUGGAUUGAGACGACUACUCUGAUGAGUGCCAUGUCACUGGCUCAACAAAAUGGGCCCAAGUGAGUCAAUGUCAUUGACAUGAAGGUGCUGUCAGUUUGGUGGGAACCAAGGGAAUGAGACUGUGUUUUAGCUGCGUUCGUUUGAACAGUUACACACUUAGGGCUUCUUAUGCGGAUGCUCAGAGAGAAAUAUGGAAGACGAGAUCUCGUAGAAAACAAGAAGACAUGUUGUAAAUGAGUCAGGCCUCCUGGAGUCCAGGACUAGGGAGGAACUCUUUAUUGAGGAUCACUCGAGGGAGUCUUGGGGCUGGUGGUCUUCACGCCACAGCCCCAUAACUCAGCUCCUCUCUUCCUUCUCUCAGUCUCUCUGCUUCUGUUUUUUGUCUCAUGUCCUAAAUGUCCAACUAUUCAGCAUAACUUUAUUCUGCUUCCCCUCUCUAUCCUCUGUAGCAAAAUGCACUGUUGGAAUUACAUUUUUAUUUUUAUUUUUAUUUU
rnacentral:lncRNA from 1 species